rnacentral:rRNA from 1 species
GCUCCUACGGGACGCAGCAGUGAGGAAUAUUGGUCAAUGGGCGGGAGCCUGAACCAGCCAAGUCGCGUGAGGGAUGACGGUCCUACGGAUUGUAAACCUCUUUUGCCGGGGAGCAAGCGUGCGUUCGUGAACGCGCGUCGAGAGUACCCGGAGAAAAUGCAUCGGCUAACUCCGUGCCAGCAGCCGCGGUAAUACGGAGGAUGCGAGCGUUAUCCGGAUUUAUUGGGUUUAAAGGGUGCGUAGGCGGACUGUUAAGUCAGCGGUAAAAGCCCGGGGCUCAACCCCGGCGAGCCGUUGAAACUGGC